rnacentral:lncRNA from 1 species
UUUAUCACUCUGCUAGCUGUUUGUACAUGUAUUGAUGGUGUGCAUGUGGUCAGGGUUUUUUCUUUUCAUUAUUUUUCCUCUUAUGGGAGAAAAAUAAUGAACUUUGUCCUUUUUGGGGUACAAGCGGUUCAAUGAGUGGAGUGCGGGGCAUCGAUUUGUCUAGUUUACAUUUUUUUCUCGUGUUGUGCUGUUACACUACUGUUACAGUUCGAUGUUCUCUCACAUACAUGUUAAACUCCGCCACGUGCACUUUCUUUAUGUACCUGACCCAAGUCAGGAGCAUGAAGUUCAAUUUUUGUCGUUGUAUACAUAUGUGUCAUAUUUGUUUUUUUGUAAAAUAGACCGUUAGUUUUUUCGUUUGAAUUUUUUUCACAUAGUGCAUGGUGGCCUUUUUGUAGCUGACUAUACGGAUUUUGG